rfam:Bombyx mori DNA, contig: Bm_scaf35_contig21064, strain: p50T/Dazao, build 2, whole genome shotgun sequence.
UUAACUCGAAUUAGUAUGGAGUUGGAACGUUUGCCUACGUUUGCCGCUAGGGGCGCUGUUCUGACUGCAUACAAAUUUGAGUUA